rnacentral:rRNA from 1 species
GACGGAGGGUGCAAGCGUUGUUCGGAAUUACUGGGCGUAAAGGGCGCGUAGGCGGUCUGUUAAGUUCGGUGUGAAAGCCCCCGGCUCACCUGGGGAACUGCGCCGGAAACCGACAGACUCGAGUACCGGAGAGGAGGGUGGAAUUCCUGGUGUAGCGGUGAAAUGCGUAGAUAUCAGGAGGAACACCAGUGGCGAAGGCGGUUGCCUGGAGCUUUGCUGACGCUGAUGCGCGAAAGCGUGGGGAGCGAUCCGG